rnacentral:rRNA from 1 species
CCCUUAGACGUUCUGGGCCGCACGCGCGCUACACUGACGAAGGCAACGAGCUUUCCUUUACCGAAAGGUACGGGUAAUCUUUUGAAACUUCGUCGUGCUGGGGAUAGAUCCUUGCAAUUAUUGAUCUUAAACGAGGAAUCCCUAGUAAGCGCAAGUCAUCAACUUGCGUUGAUUACGUCCCUGCCCUUUGUACACACCGCCCGUCGCUACUACCGAUUGAAUGGUUUAGUGAGGCCUUCGGAUCCGCGACUCGUUUUGUGGAGAAGUUGGACAAACUCAGUCAUUUAGAGGAAGUAAAAGUCGUAACA